AAACAGUGUUUAAAGGAGUUUUAAAAGGUUUCUCCUGCUUCGCUGCUUCUUGACUGGUUUAUGGUUCCUGGCUCUUGGAACUUCCCUUUCACUCCCUUCUCUUUCCUGGUUUUGUGUUUAAUCUUGACACAUUGAACCUUGAUAUCUGACUGCCUGGGUCGGUCAUGUGCUGUGUCAUUUGCAGUAAGCAAUAUGUCCUCCUGUCCAUCCUGCUUUGUCUCCUGGCAUCUGGUUUGGUGGUUUUCUUCUUGUUUCCGCAUUCAGUCCUUGUGGAUGAUGACGGCAUCAAAGUCGUGAAAGUCACAUUUAAUAAGCAAGACUCCCUUGUAAUUCUCACCAUCAUGGCCACCCUGAAAAUCAGGAACUCCAACUUCUACCCGGUGGCAGUGACCAGCCUGUCCAGCCAGAUUCAGUACAUGAACACAGUGGUCGGUACAUAUGUGACUACUAACGUCUCCCUUAUUCCACCUCGGAGUGAGCAACUGGUAUGCUGUUCUUUUAGGAAUCUUGCCCCACAGGCCUAAGAGAAGAGUAGGGGGCUGUAGGAAUGCCAUAGCUGUGUCACUUUCCUUUUUGUCUCCUCGUUUCUACUUGUAGGAACUGGUGAUGAGGAAGACCUGAUGGGCCCUGUAAUUAUAAAUAAUUGUGAGAAAAAACAGCCAUCAUUUAAGCAUUUGGGGAGCAGAAUAAUUUGUAAGAGAAAAAG
rnacentral:sRNA from 1 species